rnacentral:siRNA from 1 species
AGAGUGUUGUCGCUAAGUGCGC